rnacentral:rRNA from 1 species
AUUGAACGCUGGCGGCAGGCCUAACACAUGCAAGUCGAGCGUGAAAGUCCUUCGGGAUGAGUAAAGCGGCGGACGGGUGAGUAACGCGUAGGAAUCUACCUAAUAGUGGGGGAUAACGUUUCGAAAGGAACGCUAAUACCGCAUACGUUCUGAGGAAGAAAGCAGGGGAUCGCAAGACCUUGCGCUAUUAGAUGAGCCUGCGUCCGAUUAGCUAGUUGGUGGGGUAAAGGCCUACCAAGGCGACGAUCGGUAACUGGUCUGAGAGGAUGAUCAGUCACACUGGAACUGAGACACGGUCCAGACUCCUACGGAGGCAGCAGUGGGGAAGUAUUUGGACAAUGGGGGCGAACCCUGAUCCAGCCAUGCCGCGUGAGUGAUGAAGGCCUUAGGGUUGUAAAGCUCUUUUGCCAGGGAAGAUGAUGACUGUACCUGGAGAAUAAGCCCCGGCUAACUUCGUGCCAGCAGCCGCGGUAAU